rnacentral:rRNA from 1 species
AUUGAACACUGGCGGCAGGCCUAACACAUGCAAGUCGAACGGCAGCACAGAAGAGCUUGCUCUUUGGGUGGCGAGUGGCGGACGGGUGAGUAAUGUCUGGGAAACUGCCCGUUGGAGGGGGAUAACUACUGGAAACGGUAGCUAAUACCGCAUAACGUCGCAAGACCAAAGUGGGGGACCUUCGGGCCUCACACCAUCGGAUGUGCCCAGAUGGGAUUAGCUAGUAGGUGGGGUAAUGGCUCACCUAGGCGACGAUCCCUAGCUGGUCUGAGAGGAUGACCAGCCACACUGGAACUGAGACACGGUCCAGACUCCUACGGGAGGCAGCAGUGGGGAAUAUUGCACAAUGGGCGCAAGCCUGAUGCAGCCAUGCCGCGUGUAUGAAGAAGGCCUUCGGGUUGUAAAGUACUUUCAGCGGGGAGGAAGGCGGUGAAGUUAAUAGCUUCACCGAUUGACGUUACCCGCAGAAGAAGCACCGGCUAACUCCGUGCCAGCCGCCGCCGUAA